rnacentral:rRNA from 1 species
UAGGGAAUCUUCCGCAAUGGACGAAAGUCUGACGGAGCAACGCCGCGUGAGUGAAGAAGGAUUUCGGUUCGUAAAACUCUGUUGUUAGGGAAGAAAAAAUGUAUAGUAACUAUAUACAAAAGAGACGGUACCUAACCAGAAAGCCACGGCUAACUACGUGCCAGCAGCCGCGGUAAUACGUAGGUGGCAAGCGUUGUCCGGAAUUAUUGGGCGUAAAGCGCGCGCAGGUGGUUUAGAAAGUCUGAUGUGAAAGCCCACGGCUCAACCGUGGAGGGUCAUUGGAAACUAAUAAACUUGAGUGCAGGAGAGAAAAGUGGAAUUCCUAGUGUAGCGGUGAAAUGCGUAGAGAUUAGGAGGAACACCGGUGGCGAAAGCGGCUUUUUGGCCUGCAACUGACACUGAGGCGCGAAAGCGUGGGUAUCAAACAGG